rnacentral:rRNA from 1 species
UCUUACGGCCACACCGCCCUGAGCGCGCCCCAUCUCGUCUGAUCUUGGAAGCUAAGCAGGGUUGGGUCUGGUUAGUACUUGAAUGGUAGACCGCCUGGGAGUACCAGGUGCUGUAAGUU